rnacentral:rRNA from 1 species
AUGCGUGCGUUCACGCGCAAGCCCCCCCCCCAGGAAUCCUGUGUACACGGCCAAGAUGACCACGCCGCUCGCAGCCCCGUCCGGGCCAUCCUCAUUACCGUCCUCGCCUUAGAGUUCAGCAUCGGAACUAAAACCUGCUGCUCUGAAGGUGCCAGCAUCAGUGAGGGAAUUUAUCAAUGGUGGGUUCAGUACAAUAUCUGCUACUAUGUUAUUUGCAGCCAGAGAAGAUAUAUGUUCAUGCCAUUUUCUUAA